GAAACGCUGGCGGCACCCUACUUAUGCAAGUUCGAGCGCGCCUUCGGGUGAGCGGCGGACGGGUAGUACGUGGGAACGUGCCCUUUCUACGGAAUAGCCUCUGGAAACGGAGAGUAAUACCGUAUACGCCCUUUGGGGGAAAGAUUAUCGGAGCAAUGAUCGGCCCGCGUAGAUUAGGUAGUUGGUGGGGUAACGGCCUACCAAGCCUACGAUCUAUAGCUGGUUUUAGAGGAUGAUCAGCAACACUGGGACUGAGACACGGCCCAGACUCCUACGGGAGGCAGCAAGUUGGGGAAUCUUAGACAAUGGGUGGCAACCCUGAUCUAGCCAUGCCGCGUGAGUGAUGAAGGCCUUAGGGUCGUAAAGCUCUUUCGCCUGUGAUGAUAUGACACGUAGCAGGUAAAGAAACCCCGGCUAACUCCGUGCCAGCAGCCGCGGUAAUACGGAGCGGGGUUAGCGUUGUUCGGAAUUACUGGGCGUAAAGCGCGCGUAUGCGGAUUAGACAAGUUGGGGGUGAAAUCCCGGGGCUCAACCUCG
rnacentral:rRNA from 1 species